AAAGAAAAAUAAAUACGUAAUUACAGACUAUAUGACGGCACCUAUUGGAACCACUGGAACUUCAGCCAAUGUAACAAAUACUACAUCAGUGCAAAAACCACAAACACCAGUGAAUCAAAAUCAAAAUCAACAUCAACAUAAUAGUGAACCAAAAAACGCGUGACAAGAACCCCUCUCCGCCUCCCACCACGGCUGGUCACCGAGGGAGAGCUAGACCACCACCCUCCAAGGACACCCACUCAAUCAACAAGAGCGAGCACAUCCCUUCUUCAAGGUAUAUGCCCCAACUGAAAAAGCCACAGAUGAACAAGUGAAGAUUUUCUAUGAAAUAGUUGAAAGAGCAUACCAACAGGCAGAUAAAAACGUCAUAAUAAUGGGCGAUUUCAAUGCUAAGGUCGGACAGCCGAAACCAGAAGAGCAUAGGAUCACAGGUAAACAUGGUUACGGCUCGCGAAACCAGCGAGGUGAACUAUUGAUAAAUUACUGCCUUGAGAAAAACCUAGCCAUCAUGAACACAUAUUUCAUGAAAAAAUCUAAUCGAAAAUGGACAUGGAUCGCACCAAAUGGAAGGACGAAAAACGAGGUUGACUUUAUUCUCACAAACCAAAAA